rnacentral:tRNA from 1 species
UGGCUCAUUCAGUAAAGAAUCUGCCUGCAAUGCAGAAGACCCAGGUUCGAUCCCUGG